rnacentral:rRNA from 1 species
AGGACGAACGCUGGCGGCGUGCUUAACACAUGCAAGUGAACGGGACGGAUAUUGAAGCGACUUUCGGAGUGGUGGAUAUAUUGUUUAGUAGCGGACGGGUGAGUAAUGCAUGAGAACCUGCCCUUCAGAGGGGGACAACAGUUGGAAACGGCUGCUAAUACCCCAUAUGCCGAGAGGUGAAAGGAGCGAUCCGCUGAAGGAGUGGCUCAUGUCCUAUCAGCUAGUUGGUGAGGUAAGUGCUCAUCAAGGCGAUGACGGGUAGCCGGCCUGAGAGGGCGACCGACCACACUGGAACUGAGAUACGGUCCAGACUCCUACGGGAGGCAGCGGUGGGGAAUAUUGGGCAAUGGGCGGAAGCCCUGACCCAGCGACGCCGCGUGAGGGAAGAAGGCCUUUGGGUCGUAAACCUCUGUUGUAUGGGAAGAAGGAAGUGACGGUACCAUACGAGGAAGUCCCGGCUAACUACGUGCCAGCCGCAGC